GAUGAACGCUGGCGGCGUGCCUAAUACAUGCAAGUCGAGCGAACGGACGAGAAGCUUGCUUCUCUGAUGUUAGCGGCGGACGGGUGAGUAACACGUGGAUAACCUACCUAUAUGACUGGGAUAACUUCGGGAAACCGGAGCUAAUACCGGAUAAUAUUUUGUACCGCAUGGUUCAAAAGUGAAAGACGGUCUUGCUGUCACUUAUAGAUGGAUCCGCGCUGCAUUAGCUAGUUGGUAAGGUAACGGCUUACCAAGGCGACGAUGCGUAGCCGACCUGAGAGGGUGAUCGGCCACACUGGAACUGAGACACGGUCCAGACUCCUACGGGAGGCAGCAGUAGGGAAUCUUCCGCAAUGGGCGAAAGCCUGACGGAGCAACGCCGCGUGAGUGAUGAAGGUCUUCGGAUCGUAAAACUCUGUUAUUAGGGAAGAACAUAUGUGUAAGUAACUGUGCACGUCUUGACGGUACCUAAUCAGAAAGCCACGGCUAACUACGUG
rnacentral:rRNA from 1 species